UGCAGCAGACCCCACUCUCUCUCCACCACCCACUCUCUUAUCUUUUUUCUUCUAUCUUCUCCCCAUCUCUCCUCUCUCCCAUGCCUCCCUAGUCUGAGCAGCGCUGCCGCCCUCCCUCCCGGCCUCAGCAGCGCUCGAAGCGCCUGGCGGCGGAAGGUGCCUGCCCUUCUCGUUCUGCGCCGCUCUCCCCUGUUCCUCCCUCCUCCUUUGCCGAGGCUGCAGCGGCUCAUGUUUCCAGUCCCGCGUCCAGCAGGGGAAGCGGGAGCAGUGCCGGAGAUGGCUGUUCUGGAGGUCCUCUCCCCAUCCCCCGCCGUGCUGGAAGCAAUCCAACAUGAUGCUCCGCUGCAUGCAGGCGCUCAUGCGCGUCCAGGCGCCAUGCGGGAGCAGCAAGUCGUCGUACAACAUCGACACCUCUAUGUUCUGGGACUCCAAGUACACACAGCUCCGUUGAGCGGUCGCGCGAUGGCAGCAGCUUCACCGCCGACGAUUGGAACGACCGGCCACUGAUGACAGAGAAGAUCCAGGCCAGGGGUGGAGACAGGGGGGCAGGCCCCCCCUAAUGCUCCCGUAGCUCCAUUAGCUGAAGGCCAUGCUGCAGACGAGGAAGGACGCGGCGCUCAAGCGGUGGAUGGCGUCGCGGGCGUCCUUCGACACGAACCGGAGCAGCAUUCGCGGCGCGGCGGCGGCGAUGCCCGGGCGCGCAUCCAUGGACCACCAGGAGCCCGUGAAGACACUAGAGAUGGACACGGCAUGGCUGCCGCUGUGGCAGGCGCCCGAAGCGGCAGCAGCGGGGUGAGGGCCUGCUUUUUUUUGUUUUUUUAAUCGGUUUGUAGGGGCGUGUAACCCCCUCACCCGUCUCUACAAAUCAAUUUCUAGAGACGGGUAGGGGCAUCAUCCGCUCCUGGAAAUGGGUUUGUAGGAGCGGGUGAGGGGGUGAUCCGUCCCUAUAAAUGCAUUUUCAAGGACGGGAAACGUACCCGUCUCUGUAAAUAACUAUUUUUAGCUGCGAAAAGUAGGGGCGAGUGAGACAUCCGCCCCUAAAAAUGCUUUUUUA